rnacentral:rRNA from 1 species
CUGCCUACGGGAGGCAGCAGUGGGGGAUAUUGCACAAUGGGGGGAACCCUGAUGCAGCGACGCCGCGUGGGUGAAGAAGUAUUUCGGUAUGUAAAGCCCUAUCGGCAGGGGAGAAAUUGGACGGUACCUGACUAAGAAGCCCUGGCUAACUAAGGGCCAGCAGCCGCGGUAAUACGUAGGGGGCAAGCGUUAUCCGGGUUCACUGGGGGUAAAGGGAGCGUAGACGGCCAUGCAAGCCUGGAGUGAAAGCCCGGGGCCCAACCCCGGGACUGCGCUGGGAA